UGAAGGCCCCUCUGCUGCGUCCUGCCUGUCUGUGCUCCUGGGACCAGCUCUGCCAGCCCCUGCUGCCUGGACAGAUGGGCUGGGAAGCCCCUUAGAGGCGCCAGGGCACCUGGGCUUCUGGACCCGGGUCCUCACAGCGCUGCCGUCCUGAGUGCUGGGCACCGGCAUCCCACUCCCAGUCUCUGGCCGUCCUGAGUGAGGGACACCUGCAUCCCACGCCCAGUCUCUGGCCGUCCUGAGUGCUGGGCACCGGCAUCCCACUCCCAGUCUCUGGCCGUCCUGAGUGAGGGGCACCGGCAUCCCACUCCCCAGUCUCUGGCCGUCCUGAGUGAGGGGCACCGCAUCCCACUCCCAGUCUCUGGCCGUCCUGAGUGAGGGACACCUGCAUCCCACUCCCAGUCUCUGGUCGUCCUGAGUGCUGGGCACCGGCAUCCCACUCCCAGUCUCUGGCUGUCCUGAGUGAGGGGCACCGCAUCCCACUCCCAGUCUCUGGCCGUCCUGAGUGAGGGACACCGGCAUCCCACUCCCAGUCUCUGGCCGUCCUGAGUGAGGGGCACCGGCAUCCCACUCCCCAUCUCUGGCCGUCCUGAGUGAGGGGCACCGGCAUCCCACUCCCCAGUCUCUGGCCGUCCUGAGUGAGGGGCACCGCAUCCCACUCCCCGUCUCUGGCCGUCCUGAGUGAGGGACACCGGCAUCCCACUCCCAGUCUCUGGCCGUCCUGAGUGAGGGGCACCGCAUCCCACUCCCAGUCUCUGGCCGUCCUGAGUGAGGGGCACCGGCAUCCCACUCCCCAUCUCUGGCUGUCCUGAGUGAGGGACACCGGCAUCCCACUCCCAGUCUCUGGCCGUCCUGAGUGAGGGGCACCG